AUUUUCUUUAAUGUUCAUAUGCAAUUCAAAUUUCAAGAGAUAUUAUAGAACAUUACAUAUUUAUUUCAUCAGAUAGUUGAGAAUCCGAUAGAAAAUGUCUCGCAAACCGGAAAACAAACGUUAAAUCCGGAAAUUAAAACUUUAGAUAAAAAUUAAAAAGAAAAAAGGAAAAAGCAGAAAUUGAUAUAAAAUCAAAGGUGGAGGAGGGGAUGAGAUAAAGUUUUUGAUAUGUUUUACAAGAAACAAAGCAAAGCAAAGAGAGAGAUUAAGCAUCGGUGAAGCGAGGGGGCUUGUAGGCAAUGAAACUGAUGCACUGCACUUGACGGGUGUUGUCGAAUCCGAUGAUCCUGAUGAAGGCUUCAGGGUACUCCUUCUUGCACUCGUUAACUUCCUUCAACACUUGUGCUGAGUCAGUGCAUCCGAACAAGGGUAGCUUCCACAUUGUCCAGUACCUUCCAUCGUAGUAUCCGGGGGUGUUACCGUGCUCACGGUGCACAAACCCGUUCUAUAAUAUAAAAAAAAACCAAACCACACAUGUUACGACCACAACAACAACAACAACAACAAAAGUCCAAGAUCUAAGCUAGUUUAUGUUUUUUUCUUACCUCCAACUCGAAUUCAACACAGGGAAUCCACUUGUUGCGGAGGAGGUAGUCAACUUCCUUUCCCAACUCGACCUCGGAAAGGUCAGGAAGGUAAGAGAGAGUCUCGAACUUCUUCUUUCCGAUCGGAGGCCACACCUUUGAGAUUCAGACAAAACAACAUAUGAGUUCAUGUAAUUCGAACGAAAAAAGAAGAAGAAGAAAAAAGAUGUAUGACCUUCAUGCAGCUAACUCUUCCGCCGUUGCUUGUGAUGGAAGUAAUGUCGUUGUUGGCCUUGCGGGUGGAAGGGAAAGCAGCGGAGGACUUAAGUCCGGUGAAAGGAGCGACCAUAGUGGCCUGAGCCGGGGAGGCAACCAUUGUAGCGGAAGAGAGCAUAGAG
rnacentral:lncRNA from 1 species